AAUAUAACAUUUGGUUUUGUCACCUUUAAUUUGAUGAUUAUUCAUAGAUUCUUCAAAGGGAAAAAUAUACCAUGCAGAGUAAAACCCAAGGCAUACACUUUUAAAUCCUUGUGCUGUGCCAUGUGUCCCUUGCAGCUGAUAACAGUCUGCUAGGAUAGCUUUAAGUAUAAAAUCUAGAAUGAAUAAAUUAAGUUGCAAACAGAAAAGACUGUUUUGUUUUUUUUUUUAAUUCAGCCUUUUCUCAUGUUGUUAUGUUAACUGUGUUACCAUGUUUGUUAAAUUGUAAGUUAAAAGUUUUUAAGAAUUCUUUAUGUUCAUUGUUUCUGGUCCAGAAGAGAGAAGAAGAUGAGGAAAUAAGUUUGGUUGGGACCUUGUCACUGCCUUAUGAGGAUAAUUUUAAUCUUGGGCCAUGGGAAACAGAGAUUUGGAUCAUAUUAUUUUCCAGAACAUGGCAUUUAAAGGACUCCUUAUGGCACUUGGAAUAUUCAAGAUCCUGCUCCUCAAUGAUGGCUGAGUAGUCCUGCAGAUGAAGCAGACAUAGCUGCAAGGACUUCAAGAGCAUGUGUUGCAUGAACCUAUCUGAACACAGUAAGUCAAUACAUCGGAGCAUCCUAGUAUUGAAGGAAGGAGUAAAGAAGUUACAAGUUGAAGAUAGAAAUGACUAGUUGAGUCAACUUUUCAAAAACUGUGGGUUUGUCGGGUUGGUUGCUAUCAUUGGUUAAAACAGGUUUGCUUGUUCUUAUAGUUAUUGUUGUAUUGUUAAUGUUGCUUUGCUUAAUAACUUUUUUUGUUAAGGGUUCUCAGGAAGUCUUUUCAAGACAUUUUAAUUUUUCAACAGAGAAGGGGGAUAUGAGGAGAUAGAACUGGUUGGGCAUUGAUUUAAGACCAUAGGAUGUUAGCAAGUCUGUUCAUAUAAGGUUAUGCUUCCAGAAUAUUCUUAGUUUUCUCCCCUGACUGAUUGUCAUUUGCCACAUUAUUUUUAAUAUUUGUAAUCUCAGUCUGUGAUUGGAACCCUCCCUUCAGACCAACCCUCAAAUCUUCCUUAUAUAUCCUGUUGUACCCACCCUUUUUCCACCUUUUGUGGUUGACUCUAUACUGUGUAUUCACCUUUUGCCAUCUGUUAUUUUGCCAUUAAAGCAGUUUUACUUUUUGGGUCACCCAA